rnacentral:rRNA from 1 species
UACGUAGGGCGCAAGCGUUGUCCGGAAUUAUUGGGCGUAAAGAGCUCGUAGGCGGCCAGUUGCGUCUGCUGUGAGAUCCCGGGGCUCAACCCCGGGCGUGCAGUGGAUACGGGCUGGCUAGAGGCAGGCAGGGGAGAACGGAAUUCCCGGUGUAGCGGUGAAAUGCGCAGAUAUCGGGAGGAACACCGGUGGCGAAGGCGGUUCUCUGGGCCUGUACUGACGCUGAGGAGCGAAAGCGUGGGGAGCAAACAGG